ensembl:snoRNA SNORD97 small nucleolar RNA SNORD97
UUGCCCAGUGAUUAUAAAAAGACGCGUUAUUCUGAGGGACACAACCUGCUACCGGUCUUCUGCCUUUCGCUCUGUCUUCACCUUCAUCCUCUCCCCUCUUUUGCUCUCUCUCCUCCUCCUCUUUAAGCUGGUAGCUGGUCCGCUGACUGCGAUUAUGAGAUAUGAGGGCAC